CCUACGGGAGGCAGCAGUGGGGAAUUUUGCGCAAUGGGCGAAAGCCUGACGCAGCAACGCCGCGUGGAGGAUGAAGGCCUUCGGGUCGUAAACUCCUGUCAGGGGGGACGAAAGUCCCGCGCAAGCGGGAUCUGACUGUACCUCCGGAGGAAGCCACGGCUAACUCCGUGCCAGCAGCCGCGGUAAUACGGAGGUGGCAAGCGUUGUUCGGAAUUACUGGGCGUAAAGGGCGCGUAGGCGGCUUGGCAAGUCAGAUGUGAAAGCCCCGGGCUCAACUCGGGAAUUGCAUCUGAAACUGCCUGGCUGGAGUCCUGGAGGGGGCAGUGGAAUUCCCAGUGUAGGAGUGAAAUCCGUAGAUAUUGGGAGGAACACCGGUGGCGAAGGCGGCUCUCUGGACCGAUACUGACGCUGAGACGCGAAAGCGGGGGGAGCAAACAGGAUUAGAUACCCUGGUAGU
rnacentral:rRNA from 1 species